rnacentral:rRNA from 1 species
GACGAACGCUGGCGGCGUGCUUAAUACAUGCAAGUCGAACGGAAAGGCCCUGCUUUUGUGGCGUGCUCGAGUGGCGAACGGGUGAGUAACACGUGAGUAACCUGCCCCUGACUUUGGGAUAUCUUCAGGAAACUGGGGCUAAUACCGGAUAGGAGCUCCUGCUGCAUGGUGUGGGUUGGAAAGUUUCGGCGGUUGGGGAUGGACUCGCGGCUUAUCAGCUUGUUGGUGGGGUAGUGGCUUACCAAGGCUUUGACGGCUAGCCGGCCUGAGAGGGUGACCGGCCACAUGGGGACUGAGGUACGGCCCAGACUCCUACGGUAGGCAGCGGUGGGGAGUAUUGCACAAUGGGCGGAAGCCUGAUGCAGAAACGCCGCGUGCGGGAUGACGGCCUUCGGGUGGUAAACCGCUUUCGCCUGUGACGAAGCGAGAGUGACGGUAAUGGGUAAAGAAGCACCGGCUAACUACGUG